AUUUAGCCUCAAUCGCAAUAUUUGUUUGAGAUCAUUUUCUUUUCUGAAAUAGAAAAUGAAAAAUGCGGAGAGUGGGAAUAAGC
rnacentral:misc_RNA from 1 species